rnacentral:tRNA from 1 species
AAAGCUUUAAGUUAAUUAAACUAUUAACCUUCAAAGUUAAAAUUACAUAAAGAUGUAAGCUUUA